rnacentral:sRNA from 2 species
CCCUUUGGGGAGUAGCCGCCUUCGAUUUCAGGAGGGGCCGCGUCAACACACUUGGCUUCGGCCAUGGCGCGGCCAGCCGUAACGGGCUUGGCAAGACCACGGGUUUCGGUAUCCGCCAGCGGGUUGGGCGCGGGUGUCGAAGCCUUUGGCUUGCGCCCAACCU